UCCCCCCUCAAGCCCUCUGGCUUGGUGUUGGACGGCUUGGUUUCGGGUAACCGAGACCCCUCCCAAAAUCAAUGACGGUGGCCUGUGCGACCCCCGGUACAGUGAGCUUCUUAAACUGAGCACGUACCGGUCUCAGGGUCGCCGGGACCCGGUCUUCUUCCUUGACUGGAAACCACGCUCUUCACGA
rnacentral:misc_RNA from 1 species